rnacentral:rRNA from 1 species
CUANCNUGCNNNUCNAGCGGCAGCGGGUCCUUCGGGAUGCCGGCGAGCGGCGGACGGGUGAGUAAUGCCUAGGAAUCUGCCUGGUAGUGGGGGAUAACGUUCGGAAACGGACGCUAAUACCGCAUACGUCCUACGGGAGAAAGUGGGGGAUCUUCGGACCUCACGCUAUCAGAUGAGCCUAGGUCGGAUUAGCUAGUUGGUGGGGUAAUGGCUCACCAAGGCGACGAUCCGUAACUGGUCUGAGAGGAUGAUCAGUCACACUGGAACUGAGACACGGUCCAGACUCCUACGGGAGGCAGCAGUGGGGAAUAUUGGACAAUGGGCGAAAGCCUGAUCCAGCCAUGCCGCGUGUGUGAAGAAGGUCUUCGGAUUGUAAAGCACUUUAAGUUGGGAGGAAGGGCAGCUAGUUAAUACCUGGUUGUUUUGACGUUACCAACAGAAUAAGCACCGGCUAACUUCGUGCCAGCAGCCGCGGUAAUACGAAGGGUGCAAGCGUUAAUCGGAAUUACUGGGCGUAAAGCGCGCGUAGGUGGUUCAGCAAGUUGGAGGUGAAAUCCCCGGGCUCAACCUGGGAACUGCCUCCAAAACUACUGAGCUAGAGUACGGUAGAGGGUAGUGGAAUUUCCUGUGUAGCGGUGAAAUGCGUAGAUAUAGGAAGGAACACCAGUGGCGAAGGCGACUACCUGGACUGAUACUGACACUGAGGUGCGAAAGCGUGGGGAGCAAACAGGAUUAGAUACCCUGGUAGUCCACGCCGUAAACGAUGUCGACUAGCCGUUGGGAUCCUUGAGAUCUUAGUGGCGAAGCUAACGCGAUAAGUCGACCGCCUGGGGAGUACGGCCGCAAGGUUAAAACUCAAAUGAAUUGACGGGGGCCCGCACAAAGCGGUGGAGCAUGUGGUUUAAUNCGAAGCAACGCGAANAACCUUACCUGGCCUUGACAUGCUGANAACUUUUCNANAAAUGGAUUGGUGCCUUCGGGAACUCAAACACAGGUGCUGCAUGGCUGUCCUCACCUCNUGUCCNGAAAUUUNGGNUNAAUUCCNUAACNAGCGCANCCCUUNUCCUUANUUAC